rnacentral:rRNA from 1 species
GGCGGCGUGCCUAAUACAUGCAAGUAGAACGCUGAAGGAGGAGCUUGCUUCUCUGGAUGAGUUGCGAACGGGUGAGUAACGCGUAGGUAACCGCCUGGUAGCGGGGGAUAACUAUUGGAAACGAUAGCUAAUACCGCAUAAUAGUAGAUGUUGCAUGACAUUUGCUUAAAAGGUGCAAUUGCAUCACUACCAGAUGGACCUGCGUUGUAUUAGCUAGUUGGUGAGGUAACGGCUCACCAAGGCAACGAUACAUAGCCGACCUGAGAGGGUGAUCGGCCACACUGGGACUGAGACACGGCCCAGACUCCUACGGGAGGCAGCAGUAGGGAAUCUUCGGCAAUGGACGGAAGUCUGACCGAGCAACGCCGCGUGAGUGAAGAAGGUUUUCGGAUCGU